UUCUUUCUGUUUUUUCUUAUGUACAAAUACAUAAGUGCACAUUAAGAUGCUUUUUCACUAUUACGUAAGUUCCCAUGUGAACAGCCAAUCAGAUCAGCCUGAUGUGUGUCUCUCUCUGUUUCCUCUCUGUUUCCUGCCCUUUCAUCCCGACCACGACCAUGAUCUCUCACUUAGCAGCAGAGCAGUUUAUUCUAAACAGUGGAACCGCAAAGAUGUUCAGACUCUUUGGUCUUCUCAUUUUCAUUAACACUUCACUGGCUGUGGAUGUUGUUCAGCCCAGAUACCUGAUGAGGGUCCAGCAUGGAGACAGUGUGACCCUGACAUGCUUCCGUCCAGAAGAUAUUUCUUUUGCAGUUUGGUUUUAGCAAGCUGUUGGUCAGGUCAGAAGCCCCAGCUCAUGGCGAAAGCACUUCUCUAUGUACCUGGUGAAUUUUACAAGGAAUAUAAAAACAUAAAACGUUACUCCUUACUGAAUGCAGAGGGGAGUUUUAACCUCACUAUUUCUAACGUGGAGCCGUCAGAUUCUGCAGUGUAUUAUUGCGCUGCUCUGUUAUAUAAUGAAAUCGCAUUUGGAAAUGGAACCUUUGUCAUAAUCACAGAUAAAUGAGAUUCCAACUAUUUUCAUAUUUGCUUUAUUAAAGUGUCAGUAAUAUUGUCCUUUGACAAACAUUUUUGACAGUUGAGCUCUGUAUCAAUAUAAAAUUAACAAAGAUAGUUGA